CUACGGGGCGCAGCAGUGAGGAAUAUUGCACAAUGGGGGGAACCCUGAUGCAGCAACGCCGCGUGGAGGAUGACGCAUUUCGGUGUGUAAACUCCUUUUAUAUGUCAAGAAAAUGACGGUAGCAUAUGAAUAAGCACCGGCUAACUCCGUGCCAGCAGCCGCGGUAAUACGGAGGGUGCAAGCGUUACUCGGAAUCACUGGGCGUAAAGGACGCGUAGGCGGGUUGGAAAGUCAGGUGUGAAAUCCUACAGCUUAACUGUAGAACUGCACUUGAAACUUCUAACCUAGAGUAUGGGAGGGGGAGAUGGAAUUAGUGGUGUAGGGGUAAAAUCCGUAGAUAUCACUAGGAAUACCUAAAGCGAAGGCGAUCUCCUGGAACAUUACUGACGCUAAGGCGUGAAAGCGUGGGGAGCAAACAGGAUUAGAUACCCUUGUAGUC
rnacentral:rRNA from 1 species